UACGUAGGGUGCAAGCGUUGUCCGGAAUUAUUGGGCGUAAAGAGCUCGUAGGCGGUCUGUCGCGUCUGCUGUGAAAACUCAGGGCUUAACCCUGAGCUUGCAGUGGGUACGGGCAGACUAGAGUGCGGUAGGGGGAGACUGGAAUUCCUGGUGUAGCGGUGAAAUGCGCAGAUAUCAGGAGGGAACACCGGUGGCGAAGGC
rnacentral:rRNA from 1 species